UGGAUUCUUCCCCUGGCAAGCAAAAAUGCUUGCGCUGGUGGAGUAAUCUGCUCAGCCCUACGUUGAAUUCCUUCCAAGGCAUUGGAUUUCUUCAAAAAAACAGAAUCAUUGGGGAGUGUUGUUAUUUUAAAAAGAAUAAAGCUGACUUUCAAGAGAGAUCAAGCAUAGCCUUCCCCCGGUGGGAUUGACCUAAUCAGUGUGUUGCAAUGUAUGCAUACGGUAACCUGCUCCUUUCUCCUCAGGGAGGGGAUUGUAAAGCUUGUUCUACUGUCACUGCUCUGGGCAUGCAUCAAUUGGCAGGAUAUAAAUUGGGGUUUUAUGUCCCUUCCCUCCUAUUCUUUGCAUAACUUUAAAAGAGACAAUGUAAACACAUUGCUGAAACUGAAGAAUAUAAUUCCCUGGGGAAGUAGAAAUAGCUAGUGGUUGGUUUUUUUUAAGUGCAAGAUCUUGUUGAAUCUUUGAAGCGUGUGCCUUGCUUGUCUCCCAACUGCUGAAAGGGCAAUGAGAAAGCUGUGGCUGCUGCUGAGUCCAAAGGUAGCUCUUUCUCUUUUUAAGAGCUAAAACCUUAAAAUAACCCAAAUACUGCAACCAUCGCUGGUGGUAAUUCAGUGUGUGGCUCACACCAGCUGAGCAUCUGGCCUCUGCUUAUUCAGCUUAUUCAGCUAAUAAGAUUAAUAUUCUCAGUUCUAUACAGGACCUGUGAUCAUUGGUGGUUGCUGUUUUUUAAGAGCAAAGUUAGCAUCUGUGUAUAUCAAGAAUAUAGAGGUUUCUCCCCUUGUAUCAGUAGAAGUAAAUGAUACCGUGGAAAUUCUCUUGAAGCUUGCUGUUUGGAUCAUUGUAGCAGCUGCUGGGGAAUGAAUUUGCAGUGACUGGGCUUUCACUAGAUUGAAUCUUCCUCCUGUUUAGCUUUAUUGCUCCUUUUGUUGUUGUCUUACAGAAAUAAUUGAUCCACUGUUGCUCCGUUCAGAGUAGCUUUGUUUUGUUUAAUUCAUUAGUAUUACAUCCCACUUUUCCUCCAAGGAACUCUGAGUUAUAUUCUCAUAGCUACCUUCUAAGCAUCUGUUGCCUGAGGCAGCUGCCUCACUCUGUCUAAUGGAGCCAGUCCUGAGUAAGUCCAGAGUUCAGUGAGGCUUACACUACACAGUGUGUCAAAGUUUUGCAACCUUCUCUCCUGGCUCCUGUAUGUAGAGCUCCACAUUAUCUGCCUUUCCUAAUUGCUCUUCUUUUGGCUUGUGAAAGUGAAAGCUCCACAUUGUCCUAAUUACCUAAUGAAUAUUUCCACUUACCUACUGUAUAUGGUUUCUAGAAAUGCAGAAGAAACUGACUCAUUCAGACAUAUUGACUAAUGCUUCUUGGGUCAAGAGAGACUCAAAAUAGGCAAUUAUUUCUCU